UACGGAAGGGGCAAGCGUUGUCCGGAAUUAUUGGGCGUAAAGAGCUCGUAGGCGGUUUGUCGCGUCUGCUGUGAAAACUCGGGGCUCAACUCCGAGCUUGCAGUGGGUACGGGCAGACUAGAGUGCGGUAGGGGAGACUGGAAUUCCUGGUGUAGCGGUGGAAUGCGCAGAUAUCAGGAAGGAACACCCGGUGGCGAAGGCGGCUCUCUGGGACGGUACUGACGCUGAGACGCGAAAGCGUGGGGAGCGAACAGG
rnacentral:rRNA from 1 species